UCCGGUUUAGACCGGCGGUCUCCCUAGAGAUUUCAACUAAGGGCGAGGGUUGCGCUCGUUGCGGGACUUAACCCAACAUCUUACGACACGAGCUGACGACAGCCAUGCAGCACCUGUGUUCCAGCCCCUUGCGGGAAGGAAGCCAUCUCUGGCGACCAUACUGGACAUGUCAAAGGCUGGUAAGGUUCUUCGCGUUGCUUCGAAUUGAACCACAUGCUCCACCGCUUGUGCGGGCCCCCGUCAAUUCCUUUGAGUUUUAAUCUUGCGACCGUACUCCCCAGGCGGGAUGCUUAAUGCGUUAGCUGCGCCACUGACAGGCAAGCCUGCCAACGGCUAGCAUCCAUCGUUUACGGCGUGGACUAC
rnacentral:misc_RNA from 1 species